AUGUAUGCCUUCCAGCUGAGCAUUGUUUUUGUAGUUGUAUAAGAAACCCUUCUCACCCUGAUAGGAAACUCCUGUAGCUUCUUAUCGUAUAGUAAAGGUACCUAUAGACAUUGUUUCUGAGGUCUUAGUGGAAUUCCAUUUUGUUCCUGGGCCUCUCUGUUCUUUUGGACUUACAAUGCGGACUCCCUCAGUGAGUCUCCUCCUAGGAAUGAAAUAGUGGGCUCAGGAGCAAAAUUGUCCAUUAAAAGAAAAGAAAAAUAACUUUUAAGCAACAUGUAGCAUCAAACUUGAGAACUGGAAAUGACCUUUAUAUCAAAUGAUCCAGUCUCCUUCCUCAAGAAGACAUGGAAAUCAACUAGGAUAAUAUCCCAGGGCAUCAGGUAAGACAAUAAAACACUAAUCCACUUAUAUUUGUUACGUUAUCCUUUGAUUCUUAACAUUUUCCCAAUGAAGAUGAAAUGGCUUAUAUAAAGGACAAAUUAAAAUACAGGGGGCACCUAGCUGGCUCGGUUUGGUUGGGCAUGUGAUGCUUGAUCUUUGGGUUGUGAGUUUGAGCCCGUGUUGGGCAUACAGAUUACUAAAGAAAAAAUACAGACAAAGGGAAAAACAGGGUUAUGAGGAAGAGGAGCUUACCCUUGGGACUCAGAGUUUGAGUAGGUCUCUGUUUCUUACAGGUUUGAUAGCAUCAGACAAGUCAUGUAACCUUUCAAUUUCCUUAUCUAUAAAAUAAGAAAUUUGGAGGAUUAAAUGAGGUAAUACAUUUAAGACACUUAGCUUGGUGGCAAGACAUAGUAAAUAAUAAAUAUUAGCUAAAAGUAUACAUAACAGCAUGUAGGUAUGGGUUAAUAUAGUUGCUAUGGUUAAUAGUAUCAGGUUCAGUUCUGAGAUUUUUCAAAUCACUUUAUUUUGGUUUUUUUUUAUCAUGAUAAAUGUACUCCCUAUGUACUUCCCAUCCCCUAUUUCACCCAUCCCCUAACCCACCUCUCCUCUGUUAACCAUCAGUUUGUUGUGUGUUUCUUGGUUUCUCUCAUUUCUUUUCCUUUGCUUGUUUCUUAAAUUCCACAUGAGUGAGAUCACAUGGUAUUUUCUCUGACUUAUUUUGCUUAGCAUUAUACUCUCUAGCUCUAUCCAUGUUGCAAAUGGCAAGGUUUCAUUUUUUAUGGCUGGGUAAUAUUCCAUUAUGUAAGUGCCACAUCUUUAUCCAAUUGUCUACAAAAGGCCACUUGGGCUACUUCUGUAUCUUUGCUGUUGUCAAUGCUGCAAUAAAUAUGGGGGUGCGUCUAUCCGUUUGAAUUAGUGUUUUUGUAUUUUUUUUUUUUUUAAUUUUUUUUUUCAACCUUUAUUUAUUUUUGGGACAGAGAGAGACAGAGCAUGAACGGGGGAGGGGCAGAGAGAGAGGGAGACACAGAAUCGGAAACAGGCUCCAGGCUCCGAGCCAUCAGCCCAGAGCCCGACGCGGGGCUCGAACUCACGGACCGCGAGAUCGUGACCUGGCUGAAGUCGGACGCUUAACCGACUGCGCCACCCAGGCGCCCCUUUUGUAUUUUUCUGGGUAAAUACCUAGUAAUGCAAUUACCGGAUCAUAGGGUAGUUCUAUUUUAAAUUUUUUCAGGAACCCAGUUCUGAGAUUUUCGACACUCAAGGUAGAGAGAAAAACGUUACAUGGAAAACAAAUUCCUCCCACGUGGUUCUGGAGGUACUGAUACUGGAGUUAUGUCCUUGCCUUUAUGUCCUUAUGUCCUUGACUCCCAAUACUAAAUUUGAGCUUGGACAAGUUAUUUAAUCUAUCACAUAUAGAUGUGUGACUUCCUGUUUCGUUUGCUUUUGAUUUUACGAAAGUGUUUGCUGAUGUCUUGGGAAUUGCCUUUUUCACUUAACAUUAUCUUACUGACUUGUUUAUAGUUACUUCAUUCAGAUUCAUUGCUGUGUAAUGUUGAUGGGUAUUUAGGUUGUUCUUGGAGGUUUUGCUAUUGUAAAUGGCAGUGCUUUAAAAAUUCCUGUACCAGUCUCCUGGUAUUCAAGUGCAGUCCCUCCCCUCCAGUAACCUGCCCUGUAAAUUCCAGCUGUCCCAGCAGCCCAACUCUAUUAUUUGCCUCUUCAGGUCAGCAAUACCACCACUGUUUGCGCUCCACUUUCCUGUACCUUGAUCACAAAAGUUCUCCAAGGCAGACAGACAUGGUAAACCUAGUAUUCACCUUGCAUGUUUCCUUUCCCUUGAGUAUCAUACUCUGCCUAUUAACCAAUUCCUCAAAACAUGUCAUGGCCAGAAAUGGAAGUCUUUUCAGCUGUAUUUUCUACUCAAAAUUUUAGUUUUUUGUUUUUUUUUCUAUGUUUAAGCAUUAAUACAGUUGGGAGUUUAUUUGGCCAUGUGAAAAGUCCAAGAGAAAUUUCAUUCAUUAAAAAAAUUUUUUUUAAUGUUUAUUUAUAAGAAAGAGUGCAAGUGGGGGAGGGGCAGAGAGAGGGUGACGCAGAAUCCAAAGCAGGGUCCAGGCUCUGAGCUGUCAGCAAGAGCCCAAUGCAUGGCUUGAACCUACGAACCGUGAGAUCAUGACCUAAUCUGAAGUUGGACACUCAACCAACUGAGCCAUCUAGGUGCCCUGAGAAAUUUCAUUUAAAGAUAAUGAAAGACUACAUUAUCCUAAACAUGCUUCAAGACACACUUAGUUCUAUCUGAGGGUUAAAUUAGACCACUGAAAAUUACAUUUUACGCAUGGAGGUGAGGUCAAGAUCAUUUUUUCCGGUAUUGAGAAACCAUUUUACCCCCAAUUUAAGAAGCAGCUUAACUUGUGAGCUUCAUUUCUUCAUUUGUAAAGUGUGUGUAAAUGUUAGCUCCUAUAUGAAACACAGGUACACACAAAUAGCCUUUAUGUAGGGUUUUCAGUGUAGCUGUCUUCUGAUUAAAAACAAAUUUUAAGACUUUGAAGCCAGAUAAUAGCUACUGUUUAUAUUACCUUGACUGUAUGCCAGCAACUGUCCAAACCACUUUAUGUAUGUUCAUACAAUCCUAAUAAAAUUCCUUGAAAUAGGCACUGUUAUUUUCCCCCAUUUGCAAAUGGGGAAAUUGAGGCAUAGAUAAUUUUCCAAGGUCAUAUGAGUAAUUUGUAGUUGGACAGAGAUUCAAAACAGACUGGUUAUCAUACUAUAUUCAUUCAGAUGAGCAGGUUGUAAUAUCGUUCUAUUAUGAAAAUAAGGAACCUCCCCAUACCACCUCAGCUCAGAUGUGAGGUCAAAUAUGGGCAUUUCAAAAUCUUAAAAAUGAGAAUUGCAAGGCAAUUACUGGAUUUAGUUUAGACUCAGUCCUUCCUUUAACCUCAAUUCCAGGAAUAGCGGUCCACAAAAAUCAUUCUCUGACUUCUGUCCAUUUUCCUGCAACCAAUUCUGAUGAACGAUAUGCAUUUUCAUAGUGCUGGGUACUUUUUAAAUCUGCUUUCACAUGGAUUUUCACGUACCCAAAUGACUGGCCUACUAGGUAUCUGGCUCAGGUCAAAUAUUUCCAUUGAAUUAUAAGUGGAUUUUUUUUUCGAUUACAUUCUGUCCAGAAAUGAAAUAUAUUCCAAGAUCCCCAUGAGACUGUUUCUGAAAAAAAUAAAUGAACUCCCAUUAACUCCAGUCUGGUCCAAUGUGACUUUUUAAAAUUUGUAUGGUAUAGCAGCUGAGAAUUAGAGGACGUGACAAUAGCCAAGUCAAUUGAGAGAAAGUUUCCCAAAUGAACUCUACGACUUACUGGAAUGUGAGCAGCCACAUCCUCUUUUGAGAUGUCGCCUGUUGUGCCAAAAGGUCCUAUGGCCUAUUUUUUGGUAGGCUUCACUUCUGUCUAUACUCACUUAUCGGUCACGUUGCAAAGAGUUUUGACUUAAAGAAAUGUUUACUUUCAAUAGGCAAUCAGAUAACAGAAAACACUGCCAAGAAAGAUAGAUGUUGCUGGGGUUUUUUAUAAUUGGAUAAGUGAUUUUUGUUUUAAUUUUUAAAAUAUUUUUUAUUUAUUUUUGAGAGCGAGAGCAACAGCACAAGUGGGAGAGGGGCAGAGAGAAAGGGGGACACAGAAUCCAAAGCAGGCUCCAGGCUCUGAGCUGUCAGCACAGAGCCCGAUGUGGGGCUUGAACCCACAAAUCGCGAGAUCAUGACCUGAGCCAAAGUUGGACGCUUAACUGACUGAACCACCCAGGCACCCUGGGUAAAUGACUUUAAAAAAAAAAACAAAAAAACUGCUAUACAUAGGCAACCAGAGGCGAAAAUAAACCUUUGUUUCUUUCCUACAGAUAGGUAAGCUCCGUGUAUUCUAAGCACAUUCUAAGCAGAAUUAUAACCAACAUUCAAGCACAUAGUCAACAUAUAACUAUGGUAUAUAUUUUAGCUAUUAUGUUAGUGUAUCUGGUAAACAAUAAAAUAAUUAUUUCAAACAUGCAGUGUUUGGAUUUAGAAAUGAUUACGAAUACUGAAAAAAAACAUGGAUUAAAAUACAGUAUUUUAUUUUUUUCUCACCUAAAAAACAAGCAACCCAGAAUUAAGAUAUACAUAAACUUCUCAAAUUUAUCCCUAAUAAAAUUUGAAUAUUUAUACAAUUUCUACAGAAACAUACAGUGUAUCAAAAUCUGCAUAAAUCAAAUUUAUAAAAUGUGUAGAAAUGCAUAGUGAUAUUAUCAACUUACAAAGCAAGGAUAUGGGAAUUAUUUCCAAAGCAGCCUACAGUAGAAAAUAGUCCUAUGGCAGCAGCUUCUGAUGUUUUUCAUGUUUGGUACAGUUUCUGAUUUCAAUAUAUAGAAUCAUUUUCAUAGAGUAUUAACGAAUUGCACAAAGUACCCAUUUAAAAUUUACAUGCACAGUUUAUGUGCCACCUUUCUUAGGCCUAUGCAUAGUUAGCAAGGUUAUAAUCUAUUCAACAAGGAAAAUGGAGCCUAUUUGCAGAGAUACAAGUAAUUGAAGUACCAAUUGUCUUAGUUUCCUUUUUAUAGUUGAUUUAUUUUGCAAUUAUAUAAGCAUAUAUAAAUGUAUUCCUUUUUAAACAUCCCUAGAGAUGAAUGAAAGUUAAAAUGGUUGAUCACAGAUCAGUAGCAAAAUACAAAUUGACAAUUCAAAAUUAUAAAUAAAAUUCCGUUCAGGAUGUUUAAAUCUGACUCUCUAAAUUUAAGAGCUAAGCUUGGAAGAAAGAACUCUGUAGGCUUUUCUUCUUUCCUUUUUUAAGCUGUAAUUAAAAAUAGUUCCCUCUGGCAGUAGUUUGUGAAAUUCCUUUCAUUGUAAUGAUAUCAUGAUUACAGGAUCAAAAAUGCUUAAUUUACUUGCCAUUCCCCACUUCAUCCUUUUUCUUUCUUUCUUUCUUUUUUUUUUUUAAACUCAAUGUAGCAUUUUAAUCUUUUGGGUAACAAAAGACUUUAGAAAUUAAAACUGAAUUGACCACUUGCACUGUUUGGUUUUCCUAUAGUAAGUCCUAUCUUAAUAAAUGUUUAAAUCCAAACAAGUCUUCUUUUUCACUGGAGAAAUACUAAUAGGAAUAUGCUUCCUAAAAAAAAUUAAGAAACACUAGAGAACCAAAACCUAACCUAACAGAAGUUCAUAUUUGUUAAUGAACUGUAUUUUUAAAUAGAUUUUAAUUUAAAAAAUGUGUAGGGAAUUUCAUUUGGAUGAAGAUAUACAUGAAACAUCCAUUCACUCUUGGCUUCAUAGGUUGCACAGCUUAGGUUAAUAAUGCACAGGAGUUUUUGUAAGGCUUAAUCUAAAAAGGGCUUGGAAAUUCUUACCUUGGUCAGAAUGAAACUCUGAUGUGUUUACAGUGGUGUUUUGUUAUUUUUGUUACCCCCAUAUUUCAAGAUUUCGAAACUGAGAAUUACUUAUAGUUUUCUAUAGUGACAGGUACUGGGGAAAAGUAAAUCCCAGAUGUCAGUGGACAAUUUUUCUCUAGUUGGUAGACCCUCUUGACUGAUCUUGGGAAUCAGUAUCAACAGAGAGCAUUGGGAAUGCCAGCAUGUAAGGAAGUUAAUGCCAUACAGUCUUCAACCCUAUGAAAUAGCCUUGGGAUGUUCCAUACUGUCUUUUCUUUCUCAAGCCGCACAACAUUCAAUUUCAGAGCAAAUGGUAGCAUGUAAAUUCAUUUCUGAGUAAUAAAAGUAUUCCUCAUACAGAUGACAAUUCCAUCAAUACCAUCCUAAAAAUUUCAUCAAAAGCUCUUGAAAUAUAUACUGAGAAAUGAAAGAGGCACUAAAUGUGUUGAAAUUCACCUUUCAAAAAAGCAGCAUGACUGUGAAGGAA
rnacentral:lncRNA from 1 species